GGUAUAAUAGGGUUACCAGGCUUUUAUGCAACCAGAGAAGAUACGUCCUUCAAAAAAAAUUCCAGAGAACCCUAGCAUGUGACGAAAACCCUAGCUUUCGUUGUCAGAAAAUCCUAACUUGCAGAAAAACCGGUGGAAUCAGGUACAAGAGAUGUCGGAAAAUCACCCUAACACCUCGUUGAAAGAAUCAGCAACAAAUAACUCCGAUUUCACCAAAAAUCAAAGAAACACUCCAGAAUCUUCACCUUUAAAAAAACAGAAAUCAGAACCGAAAACGCCAUGAACUCAGACCAAAGAAUCGGGGAAGAUAGAGAGUAUGUCUAGGACUCCAGAAUCUUCACCGUUGAAAAAAAAACCAGAAAUCAAAACCGAAAAUGCCAUGAACUCAGACCAAAGAAUCGGGGAAGAUAUAGAGUAUGUCCAGGAGAAAUAUCCAGGCUCUGAUACCAUGAAAACAUGCUGAAUUAGAGUUGAAUCAAAGCUAGAAAGAGGUAAAAUAGAGAGAGAAGAAAGAGAAGUGAGCGAAAACCCUUCUCUAUAUUGAAAAUGAAAAUGAACCGACUGACUGAUUCUCGAUCCUUCUGACCCUAUAUCAACGUGGGUCAGAAAUUACAAGUGGGCCGAUUCUAACCCGAAUGGGAACAGGCCCAAUACUAAAUACAUAAGCGAGCCCAAAUCUGUUAUACAUAC
rnacentral:lncRNA from 1 species